CCGGGGGCAAGAGGUUCGACCCGAGCGCAGCGAGAGAACGUUGCUUCAGCAACGGCCCGCAGGGCGAGCCACGCAGUGGCGAGUCAUCCUCUAUCACCGACCA
rnacentral:sRNA from 1 species